UCCUCUUCUUCCUCCUCCUUCUCCUUCUCCUCCUCCUUUCUCCUUAAUAACACGUGCAAAAAGAAAUUACAGACUUACACAUACAAAAAAAAAAGGUAAAAAAUUAAGCUUAUUCAAACGCAGAAAAACGAGGAAGAUGUCCACCCGGGGUUCUAGAUUAUGCAAGAGAACCUUUGAAUGGCGAGGGAGCGACUGACAGAUGUAGUGACUGACUGACUGACUGAGCGACCGCAAUCUUACCUGGACGAGGAGAAAGAAAAUUAAAUGAAAAUGAAGAUGGUGAAAGAAUUAUACACAAGAAAGAAAGGAAGUGGAAAUAAGAGACGGGGCGAAAAAAAGUAAAGAAAGAAGAGAUAGAAGAAAGCAUAGGUCGUAAAAAUAUGCAUAAGGAAAGAAAAGAAAGGAAAAUAGAAGAAAAUGAAGAUGGUGAAAGAAUUAUAUACAAGAAAGAAAGGAAAUGGAAAUAAAAGACAGGCGAAAAGAAGAGAUAAAAGAGAGCAUGUAGGUCGUAAAAAUAUCAUAAGGAAAGAAAAGAAAGGAAAUUACAAGAAAAUGAAGAUGGUGAAAGAAUUAUACACAAGAAAGAAAGGAAGAGGAAAUAAAAGACAUGCUAAAAGAAGAGAUAAAAGAGAGUAUGUAGGUCGUAAAAAUAGCAUAAGGAAAGAAAAGAAAGGAAAAUAGAAGAAAAUGAAGAUGGUGAAAGAAUUAUACACAAGAAAGAAAGGAAAUGGAAAUAAAAGACAGGCGAAAAGAAGGGAUAGAAGAGAGUAUGUAGGUCGUAAAAAUAUCAUAAGGAAAGAAAAGAAAGGAAAAUAGAAGAAAAUGAAGAUGGUGAAAGAAUUAUACACGAGAAAGAAAGGAAAUGGAAAUAAAAGACAAGCGAAAAGAAGAGAUAAAAGAGAGUAUGUAGGUCGUAAAAAUAUCAUAAGGAAAGAAAAGAAAGGAAAAUAGAAGAAAAUGAAGAUGGUGAAAGAAUUAUACACAAGAAAGAAAGGAAAUGGAAAUAAAAGACAGGCGAAAAGAAGAGAUAAAAGAGAGUAUGUAGGUCGUAAAAAUAGCAUAAGGAAAGAAAAGAAAGGAAAUAACAAGAAAAUGAAGAUGGUGAAAGCAUUAUACACAAGAAAGAAAGGAAAUGGAAAUAAAAGACAGGCGAAAAGAAGAGAUAAAAGAGAGUAUGUAGGUCGUAAAAAUAUCAUAAGAAAAGAAAAGAAAGGAAAAUAGAAGAAAAUGAAGACGGCGAAAGAAUUAUACACAAGAAAGAAAGGAAAUGGAAAUAAAAGACAGGCGAAAAGAAGGGAUAGAAGGAGUAUGUAGGUCGUAAAAAUAUCAUAAGGAAAGAAAAGAAAGGAAAAUAGAAGAAAAGCAGGUGGUAAAAAAAUUAUACACAAGAAAGAAAAGAAAGUGGAAAUAAAACAAAGAAAAAAAAGCGUUCUCACCGUUCUUAUCCAACAGUAGUGAGUCACCGAUGAGUCACUUACCCGGAAAGAGAGAGAGAGAAAAAAAUGGAAGGUUAGUGUGAGUCAAUAACGCACGCACGCACUCACGCACGUAGUCUCUCUCUCUCU